AUGCCUUUAUCUCUACAGGUGAAAUAUUCCCUAUGCAUGACAUGUAAUGGCUUGUGGGGCCACACAUGGUCCAUGAGUGCCAAAUAAAAAUUCCAUGGCAUAAGACCUUAGAAUUUGGAAUUGGACCAUGGCAUAAUACCUUAGAAUUUGGAAUUGGACCAUGGCAUAAAACCUUAGAAUUUGGAAUUGGACCAUGGCAUAGGCAUUGAGAACCAUCAUUGGUGUGGAAAUCCUUGAAAUGGUGAUCAUAUCUCACUUGUAACAUAAAUAUUUCUAAUGUAAGGCAUGUGUGGUGGUUCAGGGUACUUAUGAAUAUAAUUAAUACACACCUAGCCCACACAACCACAAACAUAAAUGCUAACACACCUAUAAACAUAAGUAUAAAUGCACCUAACCUAUUUACUUACCGGCACAUAUAAUCGAUGCAUCUUGUUGGUGACCAUUCUCCUCUCAGGUAAAUAGUUAAUCAUGUGUUAAUUAGACCGAGUAGGUCCAAGGGGGAUAGGGGUUAAUGUGUUAGUAAUAACCUAACCUAUACCUUGAAUCUACACCCCCUAAACUUAUAAAUCAUUGACCCAUAACCCACAAACCUUAUAAAGACACAAUGUGAUUUAUUCCCAUUUCUUUGCAUGUCAAAGUGAAGAAAUUCAACCAAGCGUGGGUAAACAACAAGAGUAACUAUGACUCUCUUAAGGUAGACAGAUGCCUCUUCAUCUAAUUAGUGACACGCAUGAAUGGAUUAAUGAGAUUCCCAUUGUCUCUAGAUACUAUCUAGAGAAGCCACAUCCAAGGGAAUGGGCUUGGCAGAAUUAGCGGGGAAAUAAUACCCUGUUGAGCUUGACUCUAGUCCUAACCCAUUCAUAGUUUGGGAAAGUUAGGGCAUAGUUUGGGAAAAUUAGAACAUAAAUGUUUUCUUUGGGAGUCACAAACCAUGCAUAGUGUCUCGAGCGCCCACCUCACAAGACAUACAUAGGGAAUCUUUGGCAUGUGAGUAAGUUGUGGUGCCCAUUUUAAGACAUGUCAUAGUAGGGAAGGUUUUUUUGAACUAGUCCAUGGU
rnacentral:ncRNA from 1 species